rnacentral:rRNA from 1 species
CCUACGGGAGGCAGCAGUGAGGAAUCUUUGUCAAUGGACGAGAGUCUGAACCAGCCAAGUCGCGUGAAGGAUGACUGCCCUAUGGGUUGUAAACUUCUUUUAUAUGGGAAUAAAAUGUUCCACGUGUGGGAUUUUGUAUGUACCAUAUGAAUAAGGAUCGGCUAACUCCGUGCCAGCAGCCGAGGUAAUACGGAGGAUCCGUGCGUUAUCCGGAUUUAUUGGGUUUAAAGGGAGCGUAGGUGGUUUGUUAAGUCAGUGGGGAAAGUUGGGGGCUCAACCGUAAAAUUGCAGUUGAAACUGGCAGUCUGGAGUACAGUAGAGGUGGGCGGAAUUCGUGGUGUAGCGGUGAAAUGCUUAGAUAUCACGAAGAACUCCGAUUGCGAAGGCAGCUCACUGGCCUGCAACUGACACUGAGGCUCGAAAGUGUGGGUAUCAAACAGGAUUAGAUACCCUUGAGUC